UUUACAUUCACAACUCUAA
rnacentral:snRNA from 1 species